rnacentral:rRNA from 1 species
CGAACGGGUGAGUAACGCGUGAGGAACCUGCCUCAAAGAGGGGGACAACAGUUGGAAACGACUGUUAAUACCGCAUAAGCCCACGGCUCGGCAUCGAGCAGAGGGAAAAGGAGCAAUCCGCUUUGAGAUGGCCUCGCGUCCGAUUAGCUAGUUGGUGAGGUAACGGCCCACCAAGGCGACGAUCGGUAGCCGGACUGAGAGGUUGAACGGCCACAUUGGGACUGAGACACGGCCCAG